ensembl:lncRNA
CCGUCCUUGGUGCCAGCUGCAUGACCAGGCCAGCACCCGGAGGGACAGCAGCCAGGGCCUGGCCUGGGCAGGCCCCAGGGGCUGUGGGGUGGAGCUGGGCCCUGUACUCUGAGGGUCUGUGAACAGUUCAGCCUGACCAGCGACCUUGGCCUGAUCUGGCAAUGAUCAGGGCAUUUUGCCUCCCUCCCCGACCAGGCCUCUCUCUGGAGGCCAGCAGCCUUCCACAGCCCCAGGUGGGCCCAGCUCCUGGGUCUCAGCUGUCUGAGGCCAGCCUGAGCUUGGAGGGGUGGCCCUGGCCUCCCUCCUUUGUUGCCACCCCAGGACACUGGGCCAGCCCGGGUCCCUGUGUCAUCUGACCCCUGGCUACUGGUAUGGUCCAAGCCUUUGCCUUGCUGCCCCCUCUUCCUAUCUCACUUCUCUUUCCCUAUUCAUCCCUGGUCCCUGUGGAGGCCUCGUGUCCUCUAGGGGAGCCUCCCUGAUCCCACCUUGCCUCAUCCACAGCCCCUGCUCCCCCUGGCACACAGCAGCCACCCUAUCCGAGCUGUUCCUCGCCUUGCCAAGCCAGGAGGCUCUGCUGCCCAUCACAGGUGCAGGCCUGGGGCUGUAAUUCCAUCUCAGGCGGGCUCUGGAAACUGGGAGGCCCGGGGGACCAGCCAGUCAGCGCUGGAGCAGGGCAAGGGGGCCGGGGCCUCUGUCCCCGCUGAGGAGCGCAGCUGCUCCCUGGGGCCUCAGCGCUGAGGCUCGCGUUGCACAGCCCGGUGAUUGCUGCAGAUACCACCACAGGUGAAAGGGACACCAGCUCUGCCCUGUGUCCCAUCCAGGAGUUGCCGGGCCAGGGCACAGUGGGAGGUACUGGGGGACGAUGUCAGCCAGGGCCUGACCAAGUCCAGUCCCGGGAGGAGAGGGGAAUCGUGUUUGCUGAGCACCGGCCAGUGGGAAGUGGCUGGGCAGGGCUUGCCGGGGCCACCUGGCUGGCCUCCUGUGCUAGACCUGGAGAGGGAGGAAAAGGAGGCGACUGCGGCCCCCAGAGGCCUGCCGGAUGAGGGACUCUGUCCUGCCCAGAUGGGGAACAGGCCCCUCCCCUCCCACCAGGGGAGGGUCUUCUCUGGCCCUUCAGUGAGCAGAAGAGGCCCCAACAGUGUCAAUGCCAGCCUGCUGCCUCGACCUUGUUUGUUCAUUCACUCCCUCACUUGUUCAGCAACGCUCUUGGAGCAUAUGGGACAUACCCCAUGCCAGGACGUCCGAGCCUGGAGAGCAGGACAAAACCCCUCGUAUCCUGAGAGGGAGCCAGGCAACGAACAGGUCAGCCAAGAGGCUGACAAGGGCACUUCCAAUGGCAGAAGGGACCUGGGAAGAGGGCUUCUGGGAGAAAUGGGUGAUGCUAGGACUGGGGCAGGGAUAGUGCAGGUGGGAUGGAGGGCUCAGGAAACAAAAUGAUGGGGCCAGGACUGAGGGACGUGGGAGCUGACAGGAGAGAUGGCCAGAGCCGGAGCCAUCUGAGCAUCAAAAUAACAUGGUGCUGGAUUAUAAGCGUGAAGCAAAGACCCACGUGUGCGCCAGUGUAGACACGACAAUGAACUAAACUCAAGACAGAGCUGCCUUCUGGGACUCCAAGUGACGUGUGCAGGUUCUGCCCUCCGGGAGAAAGAGCUGGAGUGUGGGCUGUGCUGAGGGACUGUCCUCUGAAGGAGAGGCAGAGGGAAAGUGAGGACGACACCUGGUGGGUGGCAUCUUAGCCAAGUGACCAUGGUCUGCGUCACAAGGGGUGUCAUGGGGUGUCGGGCACCACCAACGUGAUGUGAUGAGAGGGACACCACACCCCUGCUGUGUUCUCCCCCAAAACUCAUAGCCCUGGUCUAAUCAUGAGAAAAUACAUCAGAUAAAUCCAAAUUGAGGGACAUUCUACAGAAUGCCUGACCGGUCCUCCUCAAAACUGUCACGGUCACGAAAAACAAGGAAGUCUGAGGAACUGUCCCAUCCCCGAGGACCCAAGGAGAUGUGACAACUCCAUCAAUGGGAUAGAGUGGGACCUGGGUGGGACCUUGGAACAGAGGAAGGAUGUUAGUGGAAAAACUGGAAAAGUCCAAUAGAGUCUGGACUGCAUUUUCUUUCUUUUUUUUUUUUUUUUUUUUUUUGAGGAAGAUUAGCCCUGAGCUAACAUCUGCUGCCAAUCCUCUUCUUUUUGCUAAGGAAGACUGGCCCUGAGCUAACAUCCAUGCCCAUCUUCCUCUACUUUAUAUGUGGGACACCUACCACAGCAUGGCUGCCAAGCAGUGCCUGGGAUCUGAACCAGUGAACCCUGGGCCACCAAGAAGCAGGACAUGUGCACUUAAGCACUGCGCCAGCAAGCCAGUCCCUGGACUGCAUUUAAGAGAGGUGUAGCAACAGGGGCUUCUUGGUGUCAAUAGACAGGCCACAGUGAUGCAGGAUGACAGCACGGGAGGAAACUGAAGCCAGGGGAGGGGUACCCAGGAACUCUCUGUACCUCGAAACAUGGCAACCUUUCUGUACGUCUAAGAUUAUUCUACAAUGAAAAGUUUAUUUUUAAAAAGCAAAAACUUCAAAUCCCAAGCAAUUAAGUAAGUGAACAAAAUCUCCUCCUUCAGGGUCAUGUUGGGGGUUAAGCAGCCUCUCAAGGUCCAUCUCAGCCCAGAUGCUCAUUUUCAGUUUUAGAAUUUGAAGCCACAGGAUGCUCUUGGCUCUGCCCACCCUCAAAACACAGGCAGGCCGCAGGGGCCACCAGACCACUGUCCACACAUGACCCACAGGCUGUAAACCGUGGACUCGCAUGAAGGCUCAGCCAGCACUGUGCUGAGCCUCAACCCAACCUCAGCCUGGCCUCCACCUGCACCCGGCCUGUCCCCGAAGGUGAGCCUGGCCCUGUGCUGAGUCUUUGCUCGAGAAAACGAAUGCUGCCAAGCCGCAAAAUGUGCUUUGUCCCAGCCAAACACUUUCAGUCACUUCCACUCACUCCUUCUGGAAUUUUCCAUCCCUAUUGCCCUCUUUUUGUCUCUUCUCCCUUUAAAAGCCCCGGUCGUCUGUCUCAGCAGGAGUCGGGUCUGUCUGUACCCCCUGUCUGGCCCUCGCUGCAGUGGGUCUCGCCGCCUUUAGCAAAGGUCGGUACUGUUUCUCAAUACAGUCGGCAUGAGCCUCCGUCUUCGCCUGUGCGUGUGGGGCUGUCUGUGUGUUUGCACACGUGUCUGUGUGGGUGCACAUGGGUCCUGGGGUGUGUCUGCGAAUGGUGUCUGUAUGUGCCUGUGUGUAUGUGUCUGUGUGCACCUGUUCAGAGGUGGCCAUAUGUGUGCAGGCGCGUCUGUGAAUGUGUGACAUUUCAUGCCCUUUCCUCCCUCCCAGCUGAACAAACACACGCCCGUGAGCUAGGCCCAGUUCUGGACACUGGGCAGGAGAUGGUCCUGCACAAGCCUCAGCAAUGAAGGCCAGCCGCACCUCUAGAUAGGGAGGUGGAGGGGCGAGGACAGAGCGGUCAGCUGGAGCCGGGCAGGGGCCACAGUGCUGUGGAACGGGAGACAGACUUGAUCUGAUAACGACGCAGAGUGACUUUUCGGGUGCAGAGCCAAUGUGCCCUGGUGGGAGCAAACAUGGGACACGAGGGGAAGCACAGGGGGUGCCUGCCUGUUCUCGGGACAGGAAGUCGGAGUGGUUGUGAGUGUGGAAGCCACGCAGGUGCUGCCACCCAGGUUUGAGGAGAGAGGUCAGGGCUGCAGGUUCAGCACGGGGCCGGGGAGGCCUCCAAGGGAGUGGAGCAGGCUGGGGUCCCUGUGACAAAGGGGAAGUCCCUUCCCGGUGAUCACUGGGGCAGACUGCCCCCGUCCCAGUAUGGCUGGGGUCAGGAGAGGUCGUGUGGCAGCAGGGUGACCCCAGGGUACUACUCCCUCAUGCUCCCUGGGGGUUUCAGAUGUCACUUGGGCAAGGCCAGGUCAGAGCCCCCUCCCCAGGGUGCCUGGGCCCAGGGCAGCUCCACAAGCUGUGUCUGGAGGAAACGGUGCCUCAGUCGCCCUGAUCCAGACUUCCAGUUGGCCCAGGACUCCCUUCUCCAGCCAUCCUUAACCGCAGACCCCAACAUCCCCUCCAAGACCCCCCCACCAUGAUUGAGGGCUGGGACACCAGCGUCUGUUGUCUGGGGCUCAGGGCCCCCGUUAGGGACCCCUGGAGGUUCUCAGGACCUCCAGUCCUGCCCAGGUGGGACCACCCCUGAUGGACACUCCCUCUCCCCAACAGCUCCAGGAUGAAGCUAGCCCCGAGUGCUAGCUGGUGACGCUGCCUUCCACGGAGGCCCCACCCAGCACAGUCUGAAGGGAGAAGGGAGCAUCUGGAACGAAGCAGAAUAGUGCCUCCUACCCCCACCGUUGGCAGGGCAGGCCUCCCUCAUUCCUGCCUUCCACUCUGCUUGGGAGCCUGGGCCCACCUCCCUCACCACCCAUCGUUUGAGCUGCACCUGUGGCUGGUCUCAUGACACAUGGAUUCCAAGCCUGCACACCCUGCGUUGGACAGGAGAUUGCCUGCUGAGUGGGCACCCACACCUGCACUCAGACCCUGCCUACCACCAGUCUCCCACGCCCACGGCCCAGCCUGCCAGUGCCCAAACACUGCUGGUUCUUCACCAUCCCAGGGCCUUUGCACCUGCUGUUCUUUCAACCUGGAAUGCCUGUCCUGUUCCUACCUACCUGGCAGUUCUCAGCCAUCCCUGAGGACUCACUCUCAACCCAGGCCCCCCAGCCUGCCAAGACACAGUCUCCCCUCCUGAUCCAGGAGAGAGAGGACCCCGCCCAGACUCUGGCCUAACACCUGUGCUUUUUGUCUGUCCUUCACCCUCUCCUGGUGCACCACGUGGCAGGGCCAUAUCUGAUUCCCUUUGUGGCCUAGGUCCUGAGGGCUCUGGGCCAGCCUGGCCAGGAUUGGGAUCCCCACCAGCUGUGUGGUUUGGUAAGUCACUUACUUCUCAGAGCAGCGGUCUGCACCUAAAGACCUUCCUGAUGGAGCCAAGGGGGCUGAGCAGGACGGCCUGACACAAAAGCCACCCCAGAAGGCACUGCCUUUCUUGUUGGCAUUAUUGGCAUGAGGGCAGUUUAACAAACACCAGUGCAGGGCGGACGCGUGGAGGUACAGGGCCCGGUGGGGGAGCUGAGAGCAGCUCUGUGGCUUUCUGCCACAGUUUCGAGUCUUGGAUGUCCUGUGGGCACCUCCUUCCUGUUGGGAUUUGGGCUGGAGUCAUCCUGGGAUGCUGCUGGGAGUCCCAGGGCUGGCAGACCCCAGGCAGUGGCCAUGUUGGAGGACAGCGGCUUGCCUGAUGCUAGGAACUGGGCAACUGCGCAUGACUGGGCAGGUGCCGGGCAGCGAGCAAGAGUUGGGGGCAGAUAUUCCUCCUCUGCACCCCCCACGAUAGGCUCAGGAGGACAGCCUCUCCCUGGGAGACCCCAGCCCAAGGCCCAGCCCCUCCAAGGACAAACAGACCCAAAAGACCAGACAGACCCGCCCCAAAGUGGAAAAACCCAGACGCCUGUCAGCAGCGGAGCAGACAAACGCAGCUGGGUCCAUCACACAGCAGAACGUGGGACAGCCUUGAGAACCAGCCACCUUCCGCUCUGGGAGCCACUGUGGACGCCUCGCCACGUGUCGUCCAGGCUAGGGCAGAACUGCUUCCACGACAGGCUAAGUGCAGAAACAGGUGCUGGUGACAAGGUGCAUUCAGUUUAUAAAAAUUCAUUAGGCCAUAUACUUAAGCACAUCCUGUCAGUCUGUCCAGUUACCCAAGCAGGAAGUGACGUCUCAUCUAAAACAGCCUCUAACAGUGAAUCACCUCAACAAACAGGUUUGGGGACAUCAUGAAUAAUGCUGCUGUGGACAUUGGAGGACAACUUUGUUCUGCCCCAUCGGACUGUAUGCUCCCCAAGGGCAGCGGCCUCACUUGUGUUGCUUAUCGCCAUGACCAGAGCUCAAUUAAGAUUCCUUGCCAAGAGUAUAUUCUCAAGCUAUUUGUCCACUGAGUGAAUGAAUGAAUGAUGGUGGAUUUUGGUGAUGCUGAUGGGGAAGUGAUGACAGAGCUGGAGGCAACAGAGGUGUUGAUGGUGACGGAGGGGACUGUGGUUAGGUGACAGUGACAGUGGCUGUUGGCAGUGAUGGAGGUGAAAGCUAGAGUCACCUCCCUUGUCCCUCCUGGAGAUGUCAGUUACCAAGAUUCCAAACUCCCCUGGGAGAUGGCCUGUGGGCCCCUCUUUGAAUGCUUCCUCCACCUCCUCACCUCAAAGACCUCCAGUCGCCCACUCAGAGUCAGACCUUGGAG